UCUACAAGGAUAAUCUGACCUGCAGGGU
rnacentral:piRNA from 1 species